UGGCGGACGGGUGAGUAACGCGUAAAGAACUUGCCCUUUAGACUGGGAUAACAGAGGGAAACUUCUGAUAAUACUGGAUAAGUUAGUAUAUCGCAUGAUAUGCAAAUGAAAGCUACGGCACUAAAGGAGAGCUUUGCGUCCUAUUAGCUAGUUGGUAAGGUAAGAGCUUACCAAGGCGAUGAUAGGUAGCCGGCCUGAGAGGGUGGACGGCCACAAGGGGACUGAGAUACGGCCCUUACUCCUACGGGAGGCAGAGGG
rnacentral:rRNA from 1 species